CCUACAGUUUUUACAUACACAAUUCAUACACCAAACUCCUGCAGAGCUGGACGCUGAUGUGACAUGCCGUAACUUCUUCGGGGAGGAUGUUUUCUACAUCCUGAAAUAUAUUCCUGGGGGGGUAUUAUUAUUUAUUAUUAUCAUUAUUAUUGUUGUUAUCAUAACUAUCAAACUUAACAACCUACUCUUUCUUAACUUACAGUAUGCUCUGUAUAUUGCAAUGGAAGCACAGUGUGAUUUCACUGAGGAAAACAUGCAGCAUAUUAGGCGAUGGUGGUGCCUAGUUCUCCUGCAGAACGUUCCCAUUCCACGAAAACAAAAUGCACGGCGAACUCAGAGCUGUGAACUGGCAGAUGUUCUUCUAAGAGACACCCCAGAGGCAGCAAGGUGGUGCGAACGCCAAAACAUUUAAAGGCAGCGUUUCCCUCCCUAGUGUAAUUGGGAUGGACGGGGAAGACCGCAUUACAACCCUUGAAGAACUAUGGUUGCAUGAUGGCCUGGACGAAGAGGAACAUAUUCUCCUCAAGGAACCAUUCAUGUUCUCGUUCCAGUUACAGAGAGAUUGUGAGAUGUUCUAUGUGGAGGCAGUUGACAAGGAAAUGACUGUCUUUGCCUCUUUCGAGGAGCAGGAGUGAAGCCAUUUUUGAGGAGUGGCAAAACCUUGUUUUUGUCUGCUGUGUAAAUUGUUCCAAUUGUUAAUUGUGUUAGAUCUCUGUACUGGAGCUGGUAUAACUCAAUAUACAAAGCACAUUCAGCUUGUCAGUAUGUCUAUGUGGUAUAGUCUGUCUCCAUUCUCAUGAGGAAAGUAAAUAGCUUUAUACAUCAGGAUAGGUAGUAACUGUAUAUACAGCGGCUUGCUGUAUUCAUCCCCCUUGGCAUUUUUCCUAUUUCUUACAACCUGGAAUUAAAAACUAUUUAAAAAUUGU